rnacentral:rRNA from 1 species
CCUACGGGAGGCAGCAGUGGGGAAUAUUGGGCAAUGGGCGCAAGCCUGACCCAGCAACGCCGCGUGAAGGAAGAAGGCUUUCGGGUUGUAAACCUCUUUUGUCAGGGAUGAAGCAAGUUACGGUAGUUGACGUAUAAGCCACGGCUAAACAUGCGCCAGAAGCCGCGGCAAUACGUCGGUGGCAAGCGUUAUACGGAUUUACUGGGUGUAAGGGCCGUGUAGGCGGGACUGUAAGUCAGAUGUGAAAACUACGGGCUCAACCUGUAGACUGAAUUUGAAACUGGAGUUCUUGAGUACAGGAGAGGUGGGCGGAAUUCCUGGUGUAGCGGUGAAAUGCGUAGAUAUUACGAAGAACACCGAUGGCGAAGGCAGCUUACUGGACUGCAACUGACGCUGAGGCGCGAAAGCGUGGGGAGCAAACAGGAUUAGAUACCCUAGUAGUC